AAUCUUACAUGCUAGGAUAAUGAAAUAUGCAUCUAUACUUUCUUUACAAUGAUAUAUAUAUAAAUUGUGAUUAAAACAAAUUUUUGUUGGAAAACUUAAUAGCUCUUCUUCUAGACUCCAACAACUCUAGGUACUUCCCAACCUCUCAAAAUUUUGCUUGUUCCGCAAAAACAAAGAAGAAGAUGAAUAUUGAUUGAUUAAACUGAUGCCAGAGCCGUAAAAAUAGUGACUGAAUGAUGAGAUGAAGAAAAAUGGGAAGCAAGCUGUAAGCCAAAAGAAAGUUCGUCAAGUUUUGGAUAUUGAUUCGAGAAGUUACGGUUCGAACUGCUAUUGGACAGUGGUUGCUGGAUUUCUUAUUCUUGAUAUGCUUCUUCUCAACUGUUUAGUACCAUAUCGAUAUAAUUUCAAUUCCUUUGCAGGCAGUUUUCUGUAGUUUGAGUUUUCUGCCUUAAUUUACGCAUUUGAUUUCAUUCGAAUGCUCUAUGCAUUUUGUAACGGAGGCAUACAGGAAUUCCAUCAUUUGGUUCGUCCAGUCCAUGCUUGAUUGAUGAAUGGAAUUCCCUACUAAGUCAUGUCCAUUUACAGUCAUCUUUGGUGUGUACUAAAUUGGGUAUCAAGUCUUGUAUGCUGUGUAAGAAUGCUUAUGUAACUACCAUGUAUCCAACAAUCAACUCUCAAAUCUGUAUAACACAUUUCAUGCCUAAUUUCACAUAGAGAUAUGUACUAUGAAUAACUCUUGGUAACUAGUCAAUGUCGAUAUUGCAGUUCAUCAGAAUCUUGGAGCGAAUACAGAGUUCAUUUGAGGCAAUUGUGUUAUUUGGAGGUUCCACACAUAAGAUCACGGGAGAGAAAUAUCAGUCUUCAGGACUAAGUCACAGGCCAUAAUGAAAGUCAGCAAAUGUGUAGGCAAGAGUUGGAUGACUUCCAUCCCUAAGGAAAUGAAAGAGAUGAUCAAGAGGUUAAGAUGUUAAAGGCUCAAGUUGGUGAACUGCAUCAAUGUAGGAUCAAAACUUCUAAGGCAAAAGUAAAAGGCUGUCUCUUCUAGUUAUGAAACAUUCAUCAAUUUCAGCGAAUUUGAUAUGCUUUUAUUAGUAUGUAUACCUCUUAAUAAUGUGUAAUUACCAGGAAAUUCUUGAAAUAGUUUUUUUUUUAAAAAAAAGAUGUAACAUUUAGCCACAGUUAAACCGUGGCAAAGUGUGAAUUUUUUUCCCAGCACAUCAAAUUA